rnacentral:lncRNA from 1 species
UAUCCUCCUUUGGAACCGGCGGGGCAGCGCUGUGCCACCCGGGACUGUGCCACCCCAGGGACAGCCUGGAGUGUUUGCUGUUUAAUCACUUUCUGCUUCUAAGCAACGAGCACCGCGCUGGGUUACAGAGAAUGUCUCUAAUUGCAGGAGGAAGAAGCCGAGCGCCUCAGUGCAGCCUUCGAUUCGAUCGUGAAGCUGAUGGGUAAAGCCUCAAGGGAAUGCGAGAAGUACUAUAGCUUCGUGGGAGCCCCGAGGUGCAAAGAGCAUGAAAUUAAACACAUCUGCAAAUACCAUGGCAGGCAGGCAGAGGAAAGAGAGGUGGAAGAAGAGAGGUCUGAAGCUUCCAGAGCACCCAGUCAAGCUCAAACUUGCCAGCAACGUACCAGACAAGCUUCCAAAGACUUGUAUAUCGAAGUUUCUCCCGGCAUCUAUUCUGUCACAGCAAUCUCAGAUGACAUGGUGAAAAAAACCCUCGUAGUAGGUGUCAAUGCAGGACAAAGUGUUGAUUUAACUUUUGUUCUGUGAUGUUUGUUGUUUCUUGACAUCACGGGAAUAAAAUACAAGGCUCUUUUUACUGCA